GCGCUCGUGGCGAAAUGGCAGACGCGCUAGUUUCAGGUACUAGUGGAUAACAUCCGUGGAGGUUCGACUCCUCUCGAGCGCA
rnacentral:tRNA from 1 species